AUUGAACGCUAGCGGCAUGCUUACACAUGCAAGUCGAACGAGUGGCGGACGGGUGAGUAAUAUAUCGGAACGUGCCCGGUGGCGGGGGAUAACUACUGGAAACAGUGCUAUACCGCAUACCAUCGGAGCGGCCGAUAUGGGAUUAGCUAGUUGGUGGGGUAACGGCUCACCUAGGCGACGAUCCGUAGCUGGUUUGAGAGGAUGACCAGCCACACUGGAACUGAGACACGGCCCAGACUCCUACGGGAGGCAGCAGUGGGGAAUAUUGGACAAUGGGGGAAACCCUGAUGCAGCCAUCCCGCGUGUAUGAAGAAGGCUUCGGGUUGUAAAGUACUUUUGGCAGAGAGGCGUUACCUGCAGAAUAAGCACCGGCUAACUACGUGCCAGCAGCCGCGGUAAUAC
rnacentral:rRNA from 1 species